CAGAAUUAAGGAAAUACGUAGUCAGUUUGUUAGCAGAUGUUUCCGGUCAAACAAAACUACGCCUACGACAAUACCAACGACUAAACCAGCAACGUCUAGGGCACCUUAUGGUCCUAAUACUUAGAACAAUAAACAAAAACAGUAUGGACGACUUUCAGAACUUUUAUGUCUAUCCAAAAACAAAAUUACCAUUUGUAUUUUAUAAAUUUUAAAGCGUAUUUAAGGAAAAUAUGAUUGGAUACAUGUGUACGGAACAAAAAUAAAGUGCAUUUUUUUUCAUUAUUGUAAGGUAUGUAAAAUAAAC
rnacentral:lncRNA from 1 species